AGAGUGAACGCUGGCGGUAGGCCUAACACGUGCAAGUCGAACGGCAGCACGGUAAGAGCUUGCUCUUAUGGGUGGCGAGUGGCGGACGGGUGAGGAAUACAUCGGAAUCUACCUUUUGGUGGGGGAUAACGUAGGGAAACUUACGCUAAUACCGCAUACGCCCGUUCGGGGGAAAGCCGGGGACCGGCAAGUGGCCUGGUGCUGAUAGAUGAGCCGAUGUCGGAUUAGCUAGUUGGUGAGGUAAUGGCUACGACCAGGCGACGAUCCGUAGCUGGUCUGGAGGAGGAUGAUCAGCCACACUGGAACUGACGACACGGUCCAGACCUCCGUACGGGAGG
rnacentral:rRNA from 1 species